rnacentral:rRNA from 1 species
AUGGCUGGGUCUGCUGUUAAGGCCGUCAUCAGGAAUGUGAGCAAACUUGCGGUUUGGGAAACCUCACUUUUAUGUGGUGUCACUGGUGAAGUAGGAUUCUUGAAAGAUGAACUGAAGCGGCUAAAGUGCUACCUUAGAUCUGCUGAUGCUAAACGGAGAUCAGGAGAUGAGUGUGUGGCUACCUGGGUCAGCCAGAUCAGGGACGUGACAUAUGAGUCCGAGAAUGUCAUUGAAGCUGCAGAUUACAUGGAGAAGAGAAACAGGCUGAAGAAUGGAUUCUUGGGUGCCAUUUCAAGGUAUGCUCGCUUGCCAAGUGACAUGGUUACCCUUCAUAAAGUUGGUGUCGAAAUCCAGCGUAUAAGAAGGAAGAUCGGUGAGAUAUUUGACAAUGCAAACCGUUUGAAUAUUGAUUUGGAUACUGGUGUUCUAGAUGAGUUUCCACGAGGCAAUGAUCUCAUGGAUCAAAACUUUGAGGAUGAUGUUGUCAUUGUUGGUUUUGAGGAUAAGUGCCAAGAAAUAACGGACAGGUUAGUUGACAAAGAGAACAAUACUCUUAGUGCUAUCUCCAUAGUCGCCAUGGGUGGGGCGGGAAAAACAUCACUCGUCAGAAAAAUCUACACAUCAUCAAGAGUAAAAGAACACUUCGACACAGUUGCUUGGGUGACUGUGUCUCAAAAGUUCAAGGCCGUUGAUUUACUAACAAGUGUUGUGGAACAAAUAAUGGGGACCAGAGUUGGUUUUAAUCUCCGUUAG